GAAUACCACUACACGAGUAUGAAUACACACGUUUUAUCCCACUACAUUUUUUCUUCCCACUACAUGCACCCGUGUAGUGGGAAGUAAAAUCGUUCGGAAACGUUAUUUCUCAUCGUACUUGAUUCAAAAAAUAUAAAAUUGUACUAUGUUUCGGUUUCCGGUGUGUAUGUGGAUUUUUUGACACUCAUCGUGGAGUCCAUAAGAGUACUUUACACACUUUCCUCCAUUGGAUAUAAAUAGCGCAUGCGCAAUCGGAACUUCCUACUCGAAGAUGGAAAUAAUUGUUUACAAGACUCAAAACCAAAAAUUUUGUUUGCAAAUAGUGGCUGAUGUGCCUUAUGAUGUAGAUGUUGGAUAUUGUGCUUUUCCAGAGAAAUGGCCCAAAAUGGAAAGCAUCUGCAGACAAUGACUGAUAUGUUUUUUAAUGCAGAUGUUUAAAAUGAUGCUUUUGAAGGAAAAAUAUCCAAGCUAAAUGAGGUUUGCUGAGAAAAGUGUUUGUCUCACAUGGAAAAGCCAUUGUCUAAGAUUAUACAUAUUAAGGUAAAUGUAUAAAUUAAAUGUUAUUUCUUAAAAAGAAAUAAGCAUGAGAGAGAGAGAGAGAGAGAGAGAGAG